UACGGAGGGCUCAAGCGUUGUUCGGAUUCAUUGGGCGUAAAGGGCGCGUAGGCGGCGUGGUAAGUCGGGUGUGAAAUCCCGGAGCUUAACUCCGGAACUGCAUUCGAUACUGCCGUGCUUGAGGACUGGAGAGGAGACUGGAAUUUACGGUGUAGCGGUGAAAUGCGUAGAUAUCGUAAGGAAGACCAGUGGCGAAGGCGGGUCUCUGGACAGUUCCUGACGCUGAGGCGCGAAGGCCAGGGGAGCAAACGGG
rnacentral:rRNA from 1 species